rnacentral:rRNA from 1 species
GUGGGGAAUCUUGCGCAAUGGGCGAAAGCCUGACGCAGCCAUGCCGCGUGAAUGAUGAAGGUCUUAGGAUUGUAAAAUUCUUUCACCGGGGACGAUAAUGACGGUACCCGGAGAAGAAGCCCCGGCUAACUUCGUGCCAGCAGCCGCGGUAAUACGAAGGGGGCUAGCGUUGCUCGGAAUUACUGGGCGUAAAGGGCGCGUAGGCGGACAGUUUAGUCAGAGGUGAAAGCCCAGGGCUCAACCUUGGAAUUGCCUUUGAUACUGGCUGUCUUGAGUACGGGAGAGGUGAGUGGAACUCCGAGUGUAGAGGUGAAAUUCGUAGAUAUUCGGAAGAACACCAGUGGCGAAGGCGACUCACUGGCCCGUUACUGACGCUGAGGCGCGAAAGCGUGGGGAGCAAACAGGAUUAGAUACCCGAGUAGUCC